UACGUAGGGUGCGAGCGUUGUCCGGAAUUAUUGGGCGUAAAGAGCUUGUAGGCGGUUUGUCGCGUCUGCUGUGAAAAUCCGGGGCUCAACCCCGGGCUUGCAGUGGAUACGGGCAGACUAGAGUUCGGUAGGGGAGACUGGAAUUCCUGGUGUAGCGGUGAAAUGCGCAGAUAUCAGGAGGAACACCGGUGGCGAAGGCGGCAUCCUGGACCGAGAUCGACGCUGAGGCUCGAAAGCUAGGGGAGCAAACGGG
rnacentral:rRNA from 1 species